UUAGCUCACAUUUGUAUGGAAUGGGAUCAUUCGCCAACGUUUGCCGCUAGGGGCGCUGUUCCAACUGCAUACAAAACUGGGUUA
rnacentral:pre_miRNA from 1 species